UACGGGGGGGGCAAGCGUUGUUCGGAAUUACUGGGCGUAAAGCGUGCGCAGGCGGCCAAGUGUGUGAGGCGUGAAAGCCCGGGGCUUAACCCCGGAAUUGCACCUCAAACUACAUGGCUAGAGCAUUGGAGAGGGUAGCGGAAUUCACGGUGUAGCAGUGAAAUGCGUAGAUAUCGUGAGGAACACCAGAGGCGAAGGCGGCUACCUGGACAAUUGCUGACGCUCAGGCACGAAAGCGUGGGGAGCAAAAGGG
rnacentral:rRNA from 1 species